rnacentral:rRNA from 1 species
CCUACGGGAGGCAGCAGUGGGGAAUAUUGCGCAAUGGGCGAAAGCCUGACGCAGCGACGCCGCGUGAGGGAUGAAGGUCCUCGGAUCGUAAACCUCUGUCAGCAGGGAAGAACGGUCACUGUGCUAAUCAGCAGUGAAUUGACGGUACCUGCAAAGGAAGCACCGGCUAACUCCGUGCCAGCAGCCGCGGUAAUACGGAGGGUGCGAGCGUGAAUCGGAAUUACUGGGCGUAAAGCGCUCGUAGGCGGUAUGUCAAGUCAAGGGUGAAAUCCCCGCGCUCAACGUGGGAACUGCCUUUGAAACUGGCAAACUUGAGUGUGUGAGAGGAUAGUGGAAUGCCAGGUGUAGGAGUGAAAUCCGUAGAUAUCGGGAGGAACAUCAGUGGCGAAGGCGACUAUCUGGCACAUAACUGACGCUGAGGAGCGAAAGCGUGGGUAGCAAACAGGAUUAGAUACCCGAGUAGUC